CUGGGAGGGUGGACGUGACACUACUCUCCUUACUGUCUCUUUUGCAUAAAACAUUGAGCACAGACUGAAAUUCAUCUCUAGUUUUGUCUGUGACUUCAGGUAGAUUGGCAUAGAGGUAAUAGAGCCCACUUCUGCAAAAUUUCAGCAGGCAGAAUACGUCCCCUGAUGAGAUUUCUGGUUCCAAGAAAGUACAAUUGAUUAGAUGCAUAUUUUCUGAAUUAUACAACAGAUCACACCCAGCUGCACAGCUUUUCUCAGGUGCUGAAUUCUUUGCAUUACUGCCCAUCUGACAACAUUAAAAAAUAUUACAAUCACAGAUUUGGCUAAUUAAGAGCAGUCCAGUGUCCCCAUUAAGGGUAAGUGAUUUGGCAGCUUGCAUUUCCAUUUCUGCCAUGUUG
rnacentral:lncRNA from 1 species